GACGAACGCUGGCGGCGUGCUUAACACAUGCAAGUCGAACGGAAAGGCCCUGCUUUUUUGGGGUGCUCGAGUGGCGAACGGGUGAGUAACACGUGAGUAACCUGCCCUUGACUUUGGGAUAACUUCAGGAAACUGGGGCUAAUACCCGAUAGGAGCUCCUGCUGCAUGGUGGGGGUUGGAAAGUUUCGGCGGUUGGGGAUGGACUCGCGGCUUAUCAGCUUGUUGGUGGGGUAGUGGCUUACCAAGGCUUUGACGGGUAGCCGGCCUGAGAGGGUGACCGGCCACAUUGGGACUGAGAUACGGCCCAGACUCCUACGGGAGGCAGCAGUGGGGAAUAUUGCACAAUGGGCGGAAGCCUGAUGCAGCAACGCCGCGUGCGGGAUGACGGCCUUCGGGUUGUAAACCGCUUUCGCCUGUGACGAAGCGUGAGUGACGGUAAUGGGUAAAGAAGCACCGGCUAACUACGUG
rnacentral:rRNA from 1 species